CGGCGCGGCGAUAGCACGUUGAAUACACCAGUUCCCAAUGGAUCACUGAAGUUAAGCAACUUUGCAUAUGGUUGGUAUCCGUAUGGGUAUCCAUGCUGCUGAUAUUUACCAGCCCCACUCA
rfam:Asian citrus Psyllid, Diaphorina citri - Florida Strain, whole genome shotgun sequence.